GUUGCAUAGAUCUAUGAUCGGUUACGCCCUCAUUGUUAAACAGUUUGUAGUGUGUCUAUUCUCCACGCUAUAGUAAUGCAAGCACACAGAUUCACGGAUAACGAAAAAUGGAACAAAACGUCCUAUUAUGGAAACAAGGAUAUUAUGCAAACAGGAAGAAGAUACUACGGUUAUUUACCAUUGCAUGCAACUAGUUGCCCGCCAAAUUCAAAAUUAUUUUUUAGCGCAAUAAAUUGCUACGUUUAAUUCGCAA
rnacentral:lncRNA from 1 species